GCUUCCUUAGCUCAGUAGGUAGAGCGCAUCCAUGGUAAGGAUGAGGUCAGCGGUUCAAGCCCGCUAGGAAGCUCCA
rnacentral:tRNA from 5 species